rnacentral:snRNA from 1 species
AUGGCUUCUCAGCCUUUUGGCUAAGAUCGAGUGUAGUAUCCAUUCUUAUCAGUUUAAUAUCUGAUAUGUCCUCUAUCUGAGGACAAUAUAUUAAAUGGAUUUUUGGAGCAGGGAUAUGAAUAGGAGCUUGCUCCGUCUACUCCAUACAUUCACCUGGUAUUGCAGUAUCUCCAGGAAUGGUGCACCCCUC